GGCUCUCUGCUUACAUAAAUAUAGAGAGUCGAGCCUGCCCAGUGAAUUUUUAAACGGCCGCGGUACUCUGACCGUGCAAAGGUAGCAUAAUCAUUUGCCUUAUAAUUGAAGGCUAGUAUGAAUGGUUUGACGAGAACAAUACUGUCUCCUUUUUAUUUUCAAGAACUUAACUUUUAGGUGAAGAGGCCUAAAUUUUAUUGAAGGACAAGAAGACCCUAUCGAGCUUAAAAGACAUUAUAGAAGUUUAUAUAUUUUUAAAUAAAUUUUCUAUUUAGCUUUUUAGUUGGGGCGACUAAGGAACAAAAAAAGCUUCUUGCUGAUAAUAAGCAGUCAUGUUUAGAUCCGAUAAUAAUCGAUCAAAGAAAUUAGUUACCGUAGGGAUAACAGCAUAAUCUCUCUUGAGAGACCUAAUCGAAAGAGGGGGUUGUGACCUCGAUGUUGGACUAGAAUAUCCUAAAGAUGCAGAAGUCUUUGAGGGUCGGUCUGUUCGACCGUUAAAAUUCU
rnacentral:rRNA from 1 species